UACAGAGGUCCCAAGCGUUGUUCGGAUUCAUUGGGCGUAAAGGGUGUGUAGGUGGCGCCGUAAGUCGGGUGUGAAAUCUCGGGGCUUAACUCCGAAACUGCAUUCGAUACUGCGGUGCUUGAGGACUGGAGAGGAGACUGGAAUUCAUGGUGUAGCAGUGAAAUGCGUAGAGAUCAUGAGGAAGACCAGUGGCGAAGGCGGGUCUCUGGACAGUUCCUGACACUGAGACACGAAGGCCAGGGUAGCAAACGGG
rnacentral:rRNA from 1 species